rnacentral:rRNA from 1 species
AUAUGCCAGCUUACUAUCUUUGAACCAUCCUGAACUCAUCUGGUUUUGGAAGCUAAGCAGUUCAACCUGGUUGGUAGGUUGAUGGGAGACCACCACAGAAUAAGAUGUGCCAACUA